UACGUAGCGUGCAAGCGUUGUCCGGAAUUAUUGGGCGUAAAGGGCUCGUAGGCGGUUCGUCGCGUCGGGAGUGAAAACUCGGAGCUCAACUCCGAGCCUGCUUCCGAUACGGGCAGACUAGAGGUAGGCAGGGGAGAGCGGAACUCCUGGUGUAGCGGUGGAAUGCGCAGAUAUCAGGAAGAACACCGGUGGCGGAAGGCGGCUCUCUGGGCCUUACCUGACGCUGAGGAGCGAAAGCGUGGGUAGCGAACAGG
rnacentral:rRNA from 1 species